rnacentral:rRNA from 1 species
UACAGAGGUCCCAAGCGUUACUGAGAAUCACUGGGUUUAAAGGGUGCGUAGGUGGUCCGUUAAGUCAGUUGUGAAAUCCCCAGGCUUAACCUGGGAACUGCAUCCGAUACUGGAUGGCUUGAAUCCGGGAGAGGGAUGCAGAAUUCCAGGUGUAGCGGUGAAAUGCGCAGAUAUCAGGAGGAACACCAAUGGCGAAGGCAGCUCGCUGGGACGGUACUGACGCUGAGACGCGAAAGCGUGGGGAGCAAACAGG